rnacentral:rRNA from 1 species
GACGCGGGCGGUUUCUUAAGUCUGGUGUGAAAUCUCUCGGCUUAACUGAGAGGGGUCAUCAGAUACUGGGAAACUUGAGGGCAGCAGGGGGAAAUGGAAUUCCCGGUGUAGCGGUGAAAUGCGUUGAUAUCGGGAGGAACACCAGUGGCGAAGGCGGUUUCCUGGGCUGUCCCUGACGCUGAGGUCCGAAAGCGUGGGGAGCAAACCGGAUUAGAUACCCGGGUAGUCCACGCCCUAAACGUUGUACACUAGGUAUGGGGGGUAUCGACCCUCUCCGUGCCGAAGCUAACGCCUUAAGUGUACCGCCUGGGGACUACGGCCGCAAGGUUAAA